rnacentral:ncRNA from 1 species
UAAACCGGGGAGCUUGCAUAACAGGCUGAGAGGAAGUUACCGCCACUUCGACCCGAUAACCUGAUUUGGGUAAUGCCAACGUAGGGAGGAUUGUU